rnacentral:miRNA from 1 species
AAGUAGUUUCCAUCUUAAGAAACCACUUUCUUUGCUCAUCCAUAAG